rnacentral:rRNA from 1 species
AAAUUGAAGAGUUUGAUCAUGGCUCAGAUUGAACGCUGGCGGCAGGCCUAACACAUGCAAGUCGAACGGUAACAGGAAUCAGCUUGCUGAUUCGCUGACGAGUGGCGGACGGGUGAGUAAUGUCUGGGAAACUGCCUGAUGGAGGGGGAUAACUACUGGAAACGGUAGCUAAUACCGCAUAAUGUCGCAAGACCAAAGAGGGGGACCUUCGGGCCUCUUGCCAUCGGAUGUGCCCAGAUGGGAUUAGCUUGU